AAGCUACUCCCUCCGUUCGGAAUUACUUGUCACAGAAAUGGAUGUAUCUAGAUGUAUUUUAGUUCUAGAUACAUCCAUUUCCGAGACAAGUAAUUUCGAACGGAUGGAGUAUGAA
rnacentral:pre_miRNA from 1 species